CAAACAGCUCACGUGUUGGGUUUCCGUUCACCCUUGCUUCUCCCAGAAAAGGACAAGCUGCCGCCCGGCUCUAUCUGCGCUGGUGCAGGGAGCAUUAUCUUGCCUCGCAGCCUGCACAGCGUAUUCCUGGAGCAGAUACAUUAGAGGGACGGUGCCUUGGAUGGCAGCUACCUGCCAGUGCCGGUCCCCAGCAGCUCUCUGCCACCAUGGACUGAAUCCAGCAGGUUCAGCCAGACACGACUGAGGAGCAGUCCAGAAAUAUCCUGUGGACAGAAGGGAUAAGGGCAAGGUUACUGGCUGGGGGGUUUGGACUCAUUCCCAUCGGCUGUCGAGCUUGCUGGAGAAAGGCUGAUUUUCCACCCUUCUUCCCAUGGUUCUGCGAAGAAUUCCUGCUAUUUCAGCAGCUGCAGCAGCACUACUUGUACCUGCUGGGGGCUCUGGUAACCACGAGAGCACAACCUGAGUGAUGGAGGACCAGCAAAAACCUCACAGGAGUUUACAGACCAAAGCAGGAUUUUACAAGGACCUAGGCUGCUUCCCUGCUAAUUGCACCACCUUAUGGGACAAAGGUGUCUUCAUAACCCCAGCAAAAGCUGCUUAUUACUUGACAUGUGAUUUCCAAUCUGUUGUCAGAACAGUUCCUGGCAUCCUGAGUGCAAGGCACUGACGGCUGGAUAGCUUCAUGCAAGUUUAAUGAAGCACAAGGUAAGUGGAAAUACAAUACAGAGAGGGGGGUCAGCAAAACCAGUUAAUUAAAUAAGAUGGAAUAACUUAAAUUUCCGAAAGGGAGUGUUAUUGCUCUGGAAACGCACCCAAGCGCCAGCUCAACUGAGAAGUGACACCGGAGCUGGCAUUUCGGGGCAUUCCAGGAAGAUCAA